CUUGUAUACAGGUGGUGCAUGGUUGUCGUCAGCUCGUGUCGUGAGAUGUUGGGUUAAGUCCCGCAACGAGCGCAACCCUCGUUCUAUGUUGCCAGCACGUGAUGGUGGGAACUCAUAGGAGACUGCCGGGGUCAACUCGGAGGAAGGUGGGGAUGACGUCAAAUCAUCAUGCCCCUUAUGUCUAGGGCUUCACACAUGCUACAAUGGCUAGUACAGAGGGCUGCGAGACCGUGAGGUGGAGCGAAUCCCUUAAAGCUGGCCUCAGUUCGGAUUGGGGUCUGCAACUCGACCCCAUGAAGUCGGAGUCGCUAGUAAUCGCAGAUCAGCAAUGCUGCGGUGAAUACGUUCCCGGGCCUUGUACACACCGCCCGUCACACCACGAGAGUUUGUAACACCCGAAGCCGGUGGAGUAACCUUUUA
rnacentral:rRNA from 15 species